GAAACUCAACAGAAGGAUGUCGUAUGGUUCGAUUCAAUGCCAAGUGAAAGGGGCGGUAUAUUGCUGCAGCUUCUAUGUAGCAUGAAAAAGUACCAGGCUGUUUACACCCAAACUAGAGCGAAUAUAAUGCCUUUGACGACUAAAUUACUUGCUCAAUAGGCCAUAUCACCCGUGAAUAGAAAAAUGCUUCCGGUUAACGAUUUUAGUUGGCUCCUACUAUGACGUUGGACCGAUUUUGUGAAACGUCGAACUGGAAUCAAUCCACCCAAGAAACGUUACGAAAUAAAGAAAACAGAAUUAGCUGAGGAGAAACGUCUGAUGGAAUGCCUAAUCGUCAAUAUGCUGAGGAUUGAUAAUACCACAGACUAACAGAUUUACAUUUUGUCACAUUAGAGGUUUCAGAAAAUGACUGGAUAAUAGUAUUAACUUAUGAAGAUUGGAAGCAUCUUCUAGAAAACAUCGCAUUCAACCGCACUGUACUCAGCAUGCGUAUCCAAAUAACAACACGCCAAUUAUCGGAAUAUUCAUAUAAUAUAUGGAAUGAUAUUACAUAUUGCAUUUAGUUAGUAAGGCU